rnacentral:lncRNA from 1 species
AUUAGAUUACUACAGAGGCGAGGAAGAUAUCUAACGAUGGACAACUGGUUAAGCGUACUUGUAUUCUAUCAAGUCAUGAAUACCUGAUUCGAGAUUUGAGAAACAAUUACCACGACUCACUAAUCGGGAAUGCCCGUUCAUAUUUGUUUUCGCCUGGAUCAGGAAACCAGAUGUAGCUAAACAACCUGUUAGGUUCAUGUU